CAAUACUGAACUCAUAGAAUGAAUUGGGAAGUACUUCCCCUGUGUCUAUCUUCUGGAAGAGACUGUAAAAGCCAUGUGAGGACACCUAGAUGAUGUCAUUUAUGAGGAAAGGGCCUUCAUCAGACUCUGGUCCUGCUGGUGCCUUGAUCUUGGACUUCCUACUCUCCAGAACUGCACAUCAUUAAAAUAUCAACUUUGGCAGAGACGUGGAGCAAGAUGACUGCAUAGAAGUUUCUACUGAUCAUUUCCCACCGCUUCCACGGGAACACCAAGUUUGAUAUCCACACAAAGGGAGCACCUUCAAAGGAAGCAAAAAUCAGAUACAUUCCCAUUGAGGCACGAAAAUG
rnacentral:lncRNA from 1 species